rnacentral:tRNA from 1 species
UCCCUGGUGGCUCAGUGGGUUAAGGACCCAGCAUUGUCACUGCUGUGGCUUGGGCUGCUGCUGUGGCACAGGUUCAGUUCCUGUCCCAGGAA